CUACGGGCCGCUGCAGUGGGGAAUUUUGCGCAAUGGGCGAAAGCCUGACGCAGCAAUACCGCGUGAGUGAAGAAGGCCUUUGGGUCGUAAAGCUCUUUUGUAAGGGAAGAUAGUGACGGUACCUUACGAAUAAGCACCGGCUAACUCCGUGCCAGCAGCCGCGGUAAUACGGAGGGUGCAAGCGUUGUUCGGAUUUACUGGGCGUAAAGGGCACGUAGGCGGCAUAGUAAGUUAAGGGUGAAAUCCCGGGGCUCAACUCCGGAACUGCUCUUAAAACUGCUAAGCUAGAGAUAGUCAGAGGCGGGUAGAAUUCCUGGUGUAGAGGUGAUAUUCGUAGAUAUCAGGAGGAAUACCGGUGGCGAAGGCGGCCCGCUGGGGCUAUUCUGACGCUAAGGUGCGAAAGCGUGGGGAGCAAACGGGAUUAGAUACCCCUGUAGUC
rnacentral:rRNA from 1 species